CGAACCGCACCUCCACGCCGCGCUCCCGCUCCAGCGCGGUGAUCUCCUCCUCGUAGCGACGCCUAUUCUCGGGGUCGGUGAGCUCCUUCGCGUACUCUGCGAACAUUCGCUGGAACUCCGGGUCCUUGAAGGCCGAGGUGUAAUAUUAUGCUGGGGUUAUCCUUGGGACGAUUUCUUAUUCUCCUCAAAUAUAUAUAACUUUCCCAGGAAAGAAUACACAGUUCAUUAUUUCUGAAGACUUUAGGGAAAGGAUCCUGGGAAAUAGCACAGUGGAUAAAGCAUUGGACUCAACAGAAUAAAGUCCCAAAUACAAUCAAUCCCUAGCAUUACAUGUACUAGAAUCAUGCUCUGGCUCUCCCCUUUUCCUCCUCUCUCUCAUAAAUAAAUAAAUAUUUUAAAAGAUUUUAAGAAGAAUAAAUUAGAAGAAAAUGAAAACAAUGG